UUGCCUACGGGGCGCAGCAGUGAGGAAUAUUGGUCAAUGGGCGGGAGCCUGAACCAGCCAAGUCGCGUGAGGGAAGACGGUCCUAUGGAUUGUAAACCUCUUUAGGCGGGGAGCAAUGCCGGGCACGCGUGCCCGGAGGGAGAGUACCCGCAGAAUAAGCAUCGGCUAACUCCGUGCCAGCAGCCGCGGUAAUACGGAGGAUGCGAGCGUUAUCCGGAAUGAUUGGGCGUAAAGGGGGCGCAGGCGGCCCUGCAAGUCUGGGGUGAAACGCCUGAGCUCAACUCAU
rnacentral:rRNA from 1 species